UACGAAGGGGGCUAGCGUUGCUCGGAAUGACUGGGCGUAAAGGGCGCGUAGGCGGAUGGCACAGUCAGAUGUGAAAUUCCCGGGCUUAACCUGGGGGCUGCAUUUGAUACGUGUUGUCUAGAGUGAGGAAGAGGGUUGUGGAAUUCCCAGUGUAGAGGUGAAAUUCGUAGAUAUUGGGAAGAACACCGGUGGCGAAGGCGGCUCACUGGCUCAUUUCUGACGCUCAGGCGCGACAGCGUGGGGAUCAAACAGG
rnacentral:rRNA from 1 species